rnacentral:rRNA from 1 species
GACGAACGCUGGCGGCGUGCUUAACACAUGCAAGUCGAACGAAGUGGCGAACGGGUGAGUAACGCGUAGGUAACCUGCCUGGUAGCGGGGGAUAACUAUUGGAAACGAUAGCUAAUACCGCAUACUACCAGAUGGACCUGCGUUGUAUUAGCUAGUUGGUGGGGUAACGGCUCACCAAGGCAACGAUACAUAGCCGACCUGAGAGGAUGAUCCGCCACAUUGGGACUGAGACACGGGCCAGACUCCUACGGGAGGCAGCAGUGGGGAAUCUUCCGAAAUGGACGAAAGUCUGACGGAGCAACGCCGCGUGAGUGAUGACGGCCUUCGGGUUGUAAAGCUCUGUUAAUCGGGACGCGGUACCGGAAUAGAAAGCCACGGCUAACUACGUGCCAGCCGCCGCGGUAAUUC